rnacentral:rRNA from 1 species
CCCUUAGAUGUUCUGGGCCGCACGCGCGCUACACUGACGAAUGCAACGAGCUUAUAACCUUGGCCGAAAGGUCUGGGUAAUCUCCAAAUUUCGUCGUGAUGGGGAUAGAUUAUUGCAAUUAUUAAUCUUCAACGAGGAAUGCCUAGUAAGCGCAAGUCAUCAGCUUGCGUUGAUUACGUCCCUGCCCUUUGUACACACCGCCCGUCGCACCUACCGAUUGAAUGGUCCGGUGAAAUCUUCGGAUCUGAGAGAUGUCUGAUUAAUUUCGGACGCCUUUUGGAAAAGUUGUUUAAACCUUACCAUUUAGAGGAAGGUGAAGUCGUANCA